GAUGGAAGUUUUUUGAGAAGUAUUUUCCUUGACUUUCUGCUUCACUUUAUAAGCUGGAGUAUCUGUCUCAUAAUCUCUGGUUGGCAAGCAGCAGCUGGAGGGAGAUAAAUUUUCUUCACCAGGAGAGGGCUCUCACAGUCUUCUGUUAUUACUGAACUUGGGAGCAGAAAGACCAGAAGGUGAAGGUACAGAAAAAGUCAUGCAAGACCUGCUCAAAUCAGGUUCCACUGGUGUGGGAGUGAUCAGCAGCUAUGUGGUACUUGGCUGCUGACUGGGGUUAAACCUCUACAUGGAACAAUAAAAAUUGAGUGAAUACCUUAAAAGCAAAGGGUAGUUCGGUGCUGGAGCCGUGUUACAUGGUGAAGUUGCUUCAGUCAAAGCACAUAUCAGGUAUUCAUAUUUCAGAGAAGGAAACAUUUGGUCAUGAGACGCUCCAGGAACAGGGCAACCAGCUGCCAGUAAUGUGGUUUUCCUGUCCCACUGACCUGCCUGGGACAGAGUUUCCCCGUGAGGAUUCUGCACUGCCUGCUGAGGCUGCAGCUGCUCUGGGCCCAUGGCAGCUGUGCCCAGCUCUCCAAGACUCUGUUGCCAUGGCACUGUGGGGAACCACAG